UAGGGAAUCUUCCACAAUGGACGCAAGUCUGAUGGAGCAACGCCGCGUGAGUGAAGAAGGUCUUCGGAUCGUAAAGCUCUGUUGUUGGUGAAGAAGGAUAGAGGCAGUAAAUGGUCUUUAUUUGACGGUAAUCAACCAGAAAGUCACGGCUAACUACGUGCCAGCAGCCGCGGUAAUACGUAGGUGGCAAGCGUUGUCCGGAUUUAUUGGGCGUAAAGCGAGCGCAGGCGGAAUGAUAAGUCUGAUGUGAAAGCCCACGGCUCAACCGUGGAACUGCAUCGGAAACUGUCAUUCUUGAGUGCAGAAGAGGAGAGUGGAACUCCAUGUGUAGCGGUGGAAUGCGUAGAUAUAUGGAAGAACACCAGUGGCGAAGGCGGCUCUCUGGUCUGCAACUGACGCUGAGGCUCGAAAGCAUGGGUAGCGAACAGGAUUAGAUACCCUGGUAGUCCAUGCCGUAAACGAUGAGCGCUAGGUGUUGGGGACUUU
rnacentral:rRNA from 1 species